GUGCUCGCUUCGGCAGCACAUAUACUAAAAUUGGAACGAAAUAUAGAUUAACAUGGCCCCUGCACAAGGAUGUCAUGCAAAUUCAUGAAGCAUUCCAUAAAAAA
ensembl:snRNA U6 U6 spliceosomal RNA